GGAUUGGAAAAAUUAUUGAAUCUAGCAAAAAUAGUAAUUUAAAAAUGGGAAAUUCAAUUGGAGAAAUAUUUCCAGCCAAGGUCAAUCUUGUACUAGUUCUUCGUGUUGAUCACUGAAUUCAAAUUGACUCAUUAACAUAAUCAAUAAAUUGGUUAUGGUUACCAAAAAUGCUUUAAACAACCUAGUCUUUCCGUAGUAACAGAAUAAGCAAGACAACGCGCUUUGAUUAAUCCCUUACCAAAUACUAAUUUUGACACGCGCCUAAAAUUAAAAUAUAUUGGUAGCAUUAAGAAUAAGAAAGACCCAAUUCAAUCUAAUAAACAACAUGUGUAGUCUAUUCAAGAAGAUUGUUUAUCCCUUUAAUAUAACUUGAAAAUCUGGCUCUAAACAAGCUAUAUUAAUUGCUACAAAUUGUUAACUCAAUCAAACAAUUACGGAUUUGAUUGUAUUAACUAGCACCUGUCACUCUAAAUUAAUCAAAUAACUGGCCAUUUACUUAAUUAAAUAGAACAACAAUAUCCAUCUAAACCAUUAAUUGCAAGAGAUAAACAAAUAUUGAAGAGUUAAAUGAGUAAAAAGAAGAACAAUUCUCACAACACUUCGGUAGAACUAGCACUUGAUUAAACCUUAAGCUGGAAUUGAAAGAAUUCAGCCACGUAUGGCCAUUUCCAAGCUUACAAACUAAAGAAAAGAAUUAUUAACUCAAAACUCUGAUAUCCCAACUAAUAGCCCAUCUCUCCCUUUUAUAGAAGAGAAGAGAAGAAUAUUUCAAAGGAAACUGAGAAAAAUACAUUUACAAUCAAAUCAAAUCCAACAAAAUAAAAUCCCAUGAUCCUCUGUAUUCUUCAAAAUCUUUGAAUAAAUCUUCCAAAAAAGAAUCCAGCAGCUCCUCAUCCUCUGACUUAGUGAUUUUAUCCCAAAAAGGCAAAUAAAUAGAGUCAACUAAUACCUGCAUCUAUUUAAUCACAUAGACCAACAAACCCAUCAAAAAUACCAAAUUAUAUGACUAAAAUAGUCACAUUUUCAUAGGUUAUUCGUCACAAAUAAUA
rnacentral:lncRNA from 1 species